rnacentral:rRNA from 1 species
GACGAACGCUGGCGGCGUGCUUAACACAUGCAAGUCGAACGGAAAGGCCCUGCUUUUGUGGGGUGCUCGAGUGGCGAACGGGUGAGUAACACGUGAGUAACCUGCCCUUGACUUUGGGAUAACUUCAGGAAACUGGGGCUAAUACCGGAUAGGAGCUCCUGCUGCAUGGUGGGGGUUGGAAAGUUUCGGCGGUUGGGGAUGGACUCGCGGCUUAUCAGCUUGUUGGUGGGGUAGUGGCUUACCAAGGCUUUGACGGGUAGCCGGCCUGAGAGGGUGACCGGCCACAUUGGGACUGAGAUACGGCCCAGACUCCUACGGGAGGCAGCAGUGGGGAAUAUUGCACAAUGGGCGGAAGCCUGAUGCAGCAACGCCGCGUGCGGGAUGACGGCCUUCGGGUUGUAAACCGCUUUCGCCUGUGACGAAGCGUGAGUGACGGUAAUGGGUAAAGAAGCACCGGCUAACUACGUGCCAGCAGCCGCGGUGAUACGUAGGGUGCGAGCGUUGUCCGGAUUUAUUGGGCGUAAAGGGCUCGUAGGUGGUUGAUCGCGUCGGAAGUGUAAUCUUGGGGCUUAACCCUGAGCGUGCUUUCGAUACGGGUUGACUUGAGGAAGGUAGGGGAGAAUGGAAUUCCUGGUGGAGCGGUGGAAUGCGCGGAUAUCAGGAGGAACACCAGUGGCGAAGGCGGUUCUCUGGGCCUUUCCUGACGCUGAGGAGCGAAAGCGUGGGGAGCGAACAGGCUUAGAUACCCUGGUAGUCCACGCUGUAAACGGUGGGUACUAGGUGUGGGGUCCAUUCCACGGGUUCCGUGCCGUAGCUAACGCUUUAAGUACCCCGCCUGGGGAGUACGGCCGCAAGGCUAAAACUCAAAGGAAUUGACGGGGCCCCGCACAAGCGGCGGAGCAUGCGGAUUAAUUCGAUGCAACGCGUAGAACCUUACCUGGGUUUGACAUGGAUCGGGAGCGCUCAGAGAUGGGUGUGCCUCUUUUGGGGUCGGUUCACAGGUGGUGCAUGGCUGUCGUCAGCUCGUGUCGUGAGAUGUUGGGUUAAGUCCCGCAACGAGCGCAACCCUUGUUCACUGUUGCCAGCACGUUAUGGUGGGGACUCAGUGGAGACCGCCGGGGUCAACUCGGAGGAAGGUGGGGAUGACGUCAAGUCAUCAUGCCCCUUAUGUCCAGGGCUUCACGCAUGCUACAAUGGCUGGUACAGAGAGUGGCGAGCCUGUGAGGGUGAGCGAAUCUCGGAAAGCCGGUCUCAGUUCGGAUUGGGGUCUGCAACUCGACCUCAUGAAGUCGGAGUCGCUAGUAAUCGCAGAUCAGCAACGCUGCGGUGAAUACGUUCCCGGGGCU